UUCUGAACCAAUAAUUUGCUACAUAUUUGGCAGAGGACGUGAAGAAAGAAAACUGGACUGAGAGACAGGCAAAAGAGUUCAAGACCAGGCUGCACCACUAACAGCUAUGACACUAAUAACAACAAGAAGCCUGGGAAAGUCAAAUGAAGUAACGCAUUCAGUCAACACACAUGUGCCUAGCAUUCAAGGCAAAUGAAAGCGACUUCCUGCCCUGGGUAAAUAAAGAAUGACCACACAGGAUGUGAUGAAGGUGAAGAAUGGAGAUACAGAAAUUAAUCACAAGACAAGGAAAAUUCAAGCUCACAUUUUAUAAUUCAUAAAACAGCUUUAGCUCCCCACCUGUUUUUUCCCAGCUCCUCUGGCUUUUCAAUAUGGUAAACAGAUUUGUCUCUUUGGCAAGAAUG